AUCUCAUUGGAAUUUAUUUUCUUUCAUUUACUUUGGCAUUGCUUGGGCACUGCUUGAUUAAGGGGUGGUGUGCAGAAACUGACAUGCCCAGAGAUAGACAGCCACAUCUGCUAACCAUUUGGAUUAAUUAUUACACCUGUACCAUAAAACACAUGUUAAUAAAAGGCUGGUGAACAGGUUCAGGUUGCAGUUUUAAAAGGGCCCAAAGAAAGCAAAAUUCUAACAAUAUAUAAGAAUCCAAACUGUUUGCUGAUAAGAUGCUGCAGGCUCCAAACAUAUACAAGGAAGAGGCAAUGUCAGACAUGUAAAUAAAACAAAUCACACAAGCAAACAGAAUAGGAGAGUGCAUAUCCUAGCAAACUAUGCCUUUGUAGUCUAUUGGCUAGAAGUGGGGACAGUGUGGUGCUCUGGAAUCCCUGGAGACCAGGAGCAUGAAUGCAGCUAGAAGUCACAUGGUAUGGGAGAAGGCUGAGGUCUCAGCUCUACCACCAAACCCUGCAGAAGCCAUUGGAUCAGCUGGAGAGCUGCUGUAUGCUUGGUGGAUUGACCAUAGGUUAUGAAUACCACUGCCAGGUGAGACUUUCCAUUUACCAGUCUGUUUCUAGCCCAGGCCUUCCCUGAGAUGAUGGAUUCACAGACAGUAUGGAAGCUGGAUUACUUGUAAUCCUUUGCUUUUAGACAUUGUUGUACUGGGGAGAUAGCAAAGGUUUCUGUGUCAGAUGUGCCAGCUGAUCACUACCAGGCUGCGUAUGAUACCAAAAAAUUGCAAAAGACUGGC
rnacentral:lncRNA from 1 species